rnacentral:miRNA from 1 species
GAAGAAUCUCUACAGGUAAGUGU